AAAGAAGAGACGAACUUCAUGGGACUUAUUUUUCACAACUGGCUUCAAAGAGAAGAUGGGGUGACAAAGAUGAGCUUGGAGUCUGGAGCCAAGGUGAUUCUGAACGCAUGGACUGUUUGCUUAUCACAUACAACUCUGUCACAAUCUGUGAGGACAUCUGAGCUCAUGAACAAGGUCUGUACGAACAUACAAACGUGGGCACCUAUGGAGGCCAGAGAGGGCACUGAAUCCCUGGGAGCUGAAGUUAAAGGCAGUCGUGGGCUGCCUGAGAUGAGUGCUGAAAACAGAACUGAGGUCUCCUGCAAGAGCCGCAAGUGCUCUUAACCACUGAGCCAUGGCCCACCCUCUCGGAGUUGGGUCUUUAGAGCCACGACCAUGUUACGGAUUUGAUAGGCAAAGGCAAAUGAGAGUCGGUUUGUGUUGAACCAAAUUAACUGUGUGGAGUAGAGGCCAGCUGACUUUUCUUGCAACAAUUUUGGUGCUCACCAAAAGCAUCCCUGGGGGAUCUGCUUCUUUGAGAAUCUCCUCUGACGUACCACCUUGGUCAACCGCUGGACUUAGGUUGCUGUUUCACAUCCCACAUGAUUUCCCGGGCAGAAGCCCAAGGCUUUGCCACUUGGCAGAAGUUUCCAACAUAAAAGCAAAUCUUGGUAUGCUCUUCCCUCCCAGAACUCUUAAAUCUCUUGUUCAUAGCUCAAGGCUUCCUUGUGUUCACAUCAGCCCACAGAUGGGUGCAUUUUUACAAUACAUCGGACCCAGCAUUUCAUUUGUCGAGAAGGGAAGCGUUCUGCUAACUCACUGUAUUGCUGGGAACAGAACUGAUCAAGUUGGCUUAUUUUUAGCGAAAGCUAAUUUCCGGAUCGGAUCGCUCUGCACCUGCAGACCUGAGCCAAUUUGCAUGAAUGUGUCUUCCUUUGCUGAGAAAAGCAUUUCCAAGGAGGAAAACCAAUGGGCUUCUGUCAGAGACAACCAAGAAGCACACCGCCUGCCUGCCUGUCCAGGGGCCCCAGAAUGACGAUUUCAGCCUACUUUAGAGCUAUUAUUAUGUAAAUGUACAGAUAACAACUUAUUUCGAGAGAACGAAGCUUCUUAUGAGCUAUGAGGC
rnacentral:lncRNA from 1 species